UGCCAUAGCUGGUGGAACAGGUACCCUA
rnacentral:piRNA from 1 species